rnacentral:rRNA from 1 species
GACGAACGCUGGCGGCGUGCUUAACACAUGCAAGUCGAACGGAAAGGCCCUGCUUUUGUGGGGUGCUCGAGUGGCGAACGGGUGAGUAACACGUGAGUAACCUGCCCUUGACUUUGGGAUAACUUCAGGAAACUGGGGCUAAUACCGGAUAGGAGCUCCUGCUGCAUGGUGGGGGUUGGAAAGUUUCGGCGGUUGGGGAUGGACUCGCGGCUUAUCAGCUUGUUGGUGGGGUAGUGGCUUACCAAGGCUUUGACGGGUAGCCGGCCUGAGAGGGUGACCGGCCACAUUGGGACUGAGAUACGGCCCAGACUCCUACGGGAGGCAGCAGUGGGGGAUAUUGCACAAUGGGCGGAAGCCUGAUGCAGCAACGCCGCGUGCGGGAUGACGGCCUUCGGGUUAUAAACCGCUUUCGCCUGUGACGAAGCGUGAGUGACGGUAAUGGGUAAAGAAGCACCGGCUAACUACGUG